UACAGAGGUCCCGAGCGUUAGGCGGAAUCACUGGGCUUAAAGGGUGUGUAGGCGGGUCUAUAAGUCAGUGGUGAAAUCUCCGGGCUCAACCCGGAAACUGCCAUUGAUACUAUAGGUCUUGAAUAUUGUGGAGGUGGGCGGAAUGUGUCAUGUAGCGGUGAAAUGCUUAGAGAUGACACAGAACACCGAUUGCGAAGGCAGCCCACCUACGCAACUAUUGACGCUGAGGCACGAAAGCGUGGGGAUCAAACAGG
rnacentral:rRNA from 1 species